GAAGAAACAAAAAAUAUAAUUCAGUUGCUUCAAGAACCUCAUGCACCUGACGGCUUAGUGUGAGAACUUGGCUGGCUUAGAUAUGUGCAGAAGAUAUUUGGCACUUCGAGACAUUUCAAAGUGGCAAAAACUGUCAGAAGUUGAGAGUCCAAUCACUUGAAAAUGAGCCAAGGUAAGACUUUAACGCCAUAACAUUCGCUCCUAAUAUGUUUCUAUUUCACUUCUUUUUCAGAAAAAGAAAAAUGUUUCUGUUCCUUAUAAUUGUUGCUGCUGACUAUUAUCUAUGCAUCUGUGAUAUGUGCCAUCACUAUUUCCAAAACUCACUAAAUGACUUCAGCAAAAGCACACAAAUUGGAGAUGUCUUGCUAGUUGACCGAAUUCUUUAGAUCAUAUCUUGCCACUAAAAGAUUUUUGAACCUGGGAGUGAAAAACAGUUAAUUAUCUUUGUGAAACAGUUAGUUAUCUUUGAACUACUCUUCAAAUGUCUCUUAAGAGUUCCAGAUAAGAUUUUAGAUGCAGCUUCGGGAUUAUAUUUAUCAUGUGUUUGAUUUAUCUUGAAAAUCAGCUGGUUCUUAGAUUUUGCAGGGACCGAGCUUUUGGAAAAAUUCUUUCCAAUGAGUAUUACGAUCUAGAUUAGAUUUCAAUCGUCAUAAUUUUGUUGUUUUAGAGAAAAUCUGCAUCGCCAAUUGCAUUAUUCAUGCACAAAAGCUAAAAAAGAAAGAUUCUCUUUUGUUACUGACCUAUUUUCCUUGCCUGGUGUUUUCGGUCUUCUUAUCCAAGAGGGAAGACUUAGAAUUGUAGCUGCAUUAUCACAAAAAUUAAAACAUCAUCGACCUCUGCAGUAUUCUUCUUUUCUUUGGCUACAUAGAAAUUGUCAUCCAUUCAUUCUCUUUUACCACUGAAGUCUACUUGUCCAACAAACACCUGUGCAGUUCAUUACUGCCCUUUUCUUGGAGUCUUCUUUAAUAAGCUCUUGCUAUCUGGUUGUAGUAUGUCUCUUCUGAUUAGAUUUUCAAAGCUUAGGAGCCUAGGACAGUUUGUCUAGUCAAUCCCGCUAGAUUGCUUCAACAUUUCAUGCUGUCUGAACCGUGCGUCAUGAAGUCAAGGAAGCAGAAUUAGAAAAGAAAUCAUAGUCGUUGCUAACUGGUCUUAUAACGGAUCCAGAGAAGGAGGUUAUGUUUGUUUUUGCCGUUUAUAACGAGUACUGCAUUCUUGUUUUGUGUUCAUUCAACAUCUUCUAUAUCUGAACUUCUUCUUUUUGUUUGAAGAUAAAACACUGCUUCUUCAUUCUUAUGUCAAGAUGGAUAACUUCUCCAAAGUUUCAGUGUGAAGUUUGUACCAUACUAGUUGAAAAUGUCAAGGAUUCAGAAAACACGGGCAUUAUUAUUACUCAAGAGACACCGUAAGCUAGCGUAGCACGUGAACUAUUUUCAGCAGCAGUGCUUGGGUAUGAACAACAUGCAGAUUCAUGUUAUGGUAUACAUCCAUGCUGUGAAUGCCUGGGAUGAUGGUUUAUGUCCAAAUAUAAUGUUGAAAUUCAAUACUUUAUUUCUCUCCAGUUUAGUAAAUAGGCACCUCCAGCAGUCAGCCUGCCCCUAGAGCCCAUGUAAUUGUCAUCGCCAUAGGGCUAGACUCUGGUAACUAGUGGCAGAUUCAAAAUUUAGACGUUUUUUUAUCAUUUAACUCAAAGCACC
rnacentral:lncRNA from 1 species